AUGGAGCAACGCAAGGUAUCACCGUUACAAGCGUUUCUUUCGCUCUUUGGGAAGUCUACUGUAACAUUACCUUGCCCCAUGGAAUCAGUGAAAUAUGGUUGGACUCCUGAACGAGAGCAUUUAUGUGAGGAUAAGAAACCAGUUCCUCACCAGCAAUCCAGCUGCUCUUCGCCAGCUGUUAUGGCUUGGGACACUUCGUACUACAACGAUGAAGAAGACGAAGAGCUUGCGAGAAAAAGGAGAGAAUUGCAGUUAAUUGAGGAACAAAUAGCUCUCAAGAAGGCUUCCAUUGCUUUGAAAAAGAAUAACCUGCAACGAACGCCCCAGUACUGCGAAAAUGAUGAUGAAAAAGAGGAGGAAGAUGAAGAAUGGGACAAUGAAAUCGAGGUGGAAACGGAACAUGAACAAUCUCCACUAUUCACAAACAAUAACUUUCCACAGAGAUCACCCCAUCAAGAGGUUGUAUCUCUCACAGAAAGACAAAUUAGUAUUCUGAAUGAGUUGACACAGCCAUUUGUUUCCUUUGAACCCUCUAAUCCGGAACCACCUUCAUUUAUGAAAAGUUUUCUGGAGAAAAGAAAUGCAGAAAUCUUUCAAAGAGAUUUGGAGCAGAAACAUGAGGCCCAAUCAGACCUCAAAGCAACCUUUACCCCAGAACACAGAGUUGAAGCUUUGAGACCUCACCGCCACUCAGGGCAUGCACUGCCAUCUCCAGCUUCCAAGCAGAGUCCAGCUGAACAGGCUAAUCCCUUCAGUCUGAAAUGCUCCCAGGAAACACUGAACAGUGGUCCACCUUUGAAGGGCUUUGAUCGUUUCCUCAGCGUCCUUAACCAAGGGGUGGAUGUACAGAGGCUGUCUGAGAUAGUGAAUGAGGCUCAGGCUGAAGUUGUGAAUAACAAGCCAGCUGCUCCUAUUCGUGGUGAGACAUGUAGGAGUGUGGAUUUGGACGAUAAAAACUCAAGAGACAAGUACAGAGAAUCAAGAGACAAGGAAAAGGGGUCCAAAAGGAAGAGAAAGGACUCCAGAGAUGGGAAUAAUCCCUCAAGAGACAAGGACAGACAGUCUAGAGAAGAGAAGGACAUGGCUUCAAGAGGCAGGAAAAACGACUCUAGAGACCGACACAGGCAUUCAGAUGGCAGGAAAAGCAGAAGGGACUCAAGAGAGAGAGACAGGGGAAGGGACUCAAAAGAGAGAGACAGGGGAAGGGACUCGAGAGAGAGAGACAGGGGAAGGGACUCAAAAGAGAGAGACAGGGGAAGGGACUCGAGAGAGAGAGACAGGGGAAGGGACUCGAGAGAGAGAGACAGGGGAAGGAACUCAAAAGAGAGAAACAGGGGAAGGGACUCAAAAGAGAGAAACAGGGGAAGGGACUCAAAAGAAAGAGACAGGGGAAGGGACUCAAGAAAGGGAGACAUGAAUUCAAGACACAAGAAGUUGGAGUCGAGAGACGAUUGCAGGGAUUCAGAAGACCACAGAGAGGAUUCCCUGAGCCAGGGGAGAAGAUACUCAAGAGACAGUAGCAGCAGGAAGAGCAGGAGCAGGAGCAGGUCAUCGACCUCAGAGGACGAGAGGAAGAUGGAGAAAGAGCAACAUCGCUCGAGGAUCCAGACCCUCCUCCAGACAGUGGGGCUGGACUUGGGGAUUGAGGGGCUGGACCGACUGAGGAAUAGGACCCAAGCGAGGCUCUAUGGGACAAAAACUCCAAGAGGCGGGGGGGAUGGCAGGCAACAACAGCAGCUCAGAGACUCUUCAUGGUCAGACAGCUCGGAUGAUCAAUCCCCAGAUUCUCACCACAGGCGACGUGACUCCCAGAAGCGCAGAGAUUCCCAUGACGCUGAACGCCCUAGGAGGGUAACAGACUUCCCUCAAUCAGUACAGGAAGUUACUGGAAGCUACCCUGUCGGCCCUGCUCCCCAGAAUAUGCCCGUGUCCACAUUUUCACAGCCUCCACCAACAAACUAUUCAAGCUAUACAGCGAUGUAUCAUAACUCCUAUGAUGGCCAGGACCACAGUGCCUCUGUCCAGAGCUGGACUGCUGUUGGGUGGAGUGGAGUGCCACCUCCUGGCCCUCCCUGUUCCUAUGGCCCACCUCUUGGCAACAUAUUACCAGGGACCCCUCAGUUCCCCCCUCCGCCUUUGAUGGUCACAGGCUCCCAAAAUGCACCAUACCACAAUCCACCACCUCAGUAUCCUACGCACCUGGGACCUCCACCACCGCCACAACCCCCAUGUCCUCUGCCUCCACCACCACAACCCCCAUGUCAUCUGCCUCCACCGCCCCACCUCCUGCCCCCCCCGCAUCCACCACUCCUACCCCCUCCUCAUCUGCCUCCACCGCCCCACCUCCAUCCACCACUCCUAAAGCCUCCCUUUCCACCCUCACCUUACCCGAUUCUCCCAUCGUUCCCCCCCGGGCCACCCAACCAGGUGAUGGCAGAGACCAACCUCAGGGUGGCAGAAAUGCAGGGGACGUCGAACAACGAGAAAAUACGUUUUCUUUCGGUCUUCAAAGAAGUGACUCUACCACCACCGAAGGUGAAACAGAAUUUCGAGAACCCGCAUCGAAAGUUGACGCGGAAAGAGAAAGCACAAAGGCGAAGGGCAAGGAGGGCAAGGAAGGCUGCUGAGGCCGCCGCUGCCGCAGCUGCUAACCCCGAUGCUGCGGGGGAAAACAAAACACGAAAGAAAAGAAGAAGACAAAAGAAAAAGAAAAAGAAUGCUGCUUCGGUGACCGUGACGACGACAACAGCUGCUGCAACUACGAUUCCUGCUGCUGCGGCUGCAACUGUGGGUGCUGCAACUGUGGGUGCUGCAACUGUGGGUGCUGCAACUGUGGAUACUGCAACUGUGGAUACUGUAACUGUUGCUGAGGCUGAUACUACUGCUGCUGCUCCCAUUAAAACUAGAGCAGCUAAACCAUUGGUACUACUACACCUACUGACUAAGAAAGUAGUGGGAGCCAAGGCACAGACACAACACACAAACUCAGACAUGUUGGAGGAACUCAGUAAAGACAUGGAAGGAUAACAGAGAGAAAUAUUGACCUUGAUUGGCUGAUAAAGAAACCGUGAGGAUACAUGCAAUGACCUAUCGCUGACUUCUGCCCACAUGACUGGACAUGGACAUGUUUGAGAGAACAUUCUUUUUCCGUUCUGCCAUAAUCUGUUGUAGUAUCUUGUUCUUUGAUCUGUUUCCACACAUGACUUUUGAUCAUAAAUGUUCAUAGCAGUAGCAUAUUCAUUUAGGUGGACCGGUAGGGUAUAAUAUGUACAAGAACCGAAGCAAAAAGUGAUCUGUAAUCAUAACAUAUUUUAAGAUUUCUUUAUUCAGAGUAUUUGCCUACCAUCAGUUUGAUACAUUGUAAUGAUAGCAGGCUACUGGCUUUGGUUACUGUUGCUUAGCGAUACGCAUAGUUUCAAGAAAGGUGGCAGAAGUGAGCUGCAACAUUAUUUCUUAAUUCUGUAAUGAUUUCCCCACUAACAUUAAAACACAACUGUUGCAUAACAACAGUGUCAAACCUGGAGUUGUGGCAACUGCAGUGGUCUGCUCACUGAACAUAUGCAGCAUUGAACCUGCAACUACAUCACAUCAGAUUUUCUAUUAGCAAGGGUAACCACAUAACCAGGCGGCCACAAACACAAACGCUUUCCCGACUGCCGUUGUCUGUUCCUCUUUCCUGAAGCAUGGCAUAUCUCCCACACGCACACACUUCACAUCAUUUUAUGGCCUCGGUAAAAAAAAAAAUGAUGGACUUUAGUUGCUGUAGCUAAAUUUAACAAUAUAUUUUAAAAAUCAGUUCUUGUACUCUUAAAUUAAGCGUGAAUAUCUUCCACUUCUCAUAGCCCCUUUUUUAUAACAGUUCAGUGUAACAAUGUACAUCGUGUUUUGCUGGGGUGGAGGACGACAAUUAUUUUUGAAUAAGGCGCUGAAUCAAUUGAAACUAACUGAUAUCCCCCACUGUGGAUGUGCCUCCACCAUUUCAUGAUGACCUUUCACCCUUUCAUCAUUUUCACUCUCAUCCCUGGGCAUAAGCCUUGUGGCUUGUGCUGCAAGAUAAGGAAGCACUGUUUAAAAAAAUUAGGCCUUACAUGUCAAAACUCCACCAUGUCAAAUCUAUUCAGGUAGAGUUAAAUCACUAGUCUUUCCACUAAAACGUCAUUAGAACUUAUAAAAUAUCGUGCGUAUCAUGUUAAAUAUACAUUUAGUAAAUAUUAAUAAUAAUAAUUAUAAUAAUAAUUAGUAAAAAUGAUCUUUAGAAGCCUAGGUUGGACAUGUAGUAAGGUCACGAAGGCUCCAAGAUAUGGAUGUUGUACUGUUUGUCAUAGCCUAUGCAGCUCCACUGUUGAGAAGCAACAUAUGACAAAGCAGAAACGGUGUGGGUUUCAGAAACUGUUGUUUCAUUGAACAUGAUUCCAUAUUCAUCUCUCUCCCUCUCUUUCCCAGCUGUUCACAUUGCUUUGACUUUUUGCCUAGUCUACCUUUGCAGCACUUUGGUUUGCCUCAUAACCAAAUGCAGUUAGUCCAUGUAAAGAUAUCCAUCUUGUGAGUAAAAUAACCAAAUGCAGUUAGUCCAUGUAAAGAUAUCCAUCUUGUGAGUAAAAUGUAUAUUUGUAUAUGUAUAUGUCUCUGCUUUGGCAUCUGUUGCCUCUUCAGGUGAACCAUGGAGCUGCAUUAGGUAGGCCAUGGCAUAAAGUGUAACAUCCAUAUCAUGAAACCUACCUGUCCAACCUGGUUUCUAAAGAAAAAGAAAAAAGCUGAAAAAAGCUUUUACACCUCAUCAGGACACUAUACAAGUUUAUUUAUAUACAUACUUUGGACACUUAAAUCACUUCCAGUUAGCUAAAAAUUCACGCUCAAGUUUACGUCGGACACCAGAGUUGUGUAAGUAUCUCUUUAUUCAAUAUGCAUAUCGGGCUCACACAUGUCUUGGCAGACAAGAGAGAAGCAUGGGCUCACUCUCAUCUUGGAGGUUGAGAGAGAGAGAGAGCCCGGGCUCACUCCCAGACUGCAGCAGACGAGAGAGAACCAAAGUUAAACACAUCAUACAAGGUUUAUAUAGGUUGAAGUUAGGGUUUCUCAGAUGCCAAAGCAUUUUUUUCAGCAGAGAUAAACACAUGGUGGGUUUCCCACACCCGAGGUCAUCUUGCUAUGCUUUUUGCAACAUAAUGCAUCAGCAAGGCAGAAAAGAAGGUGUACGGUGAAAAUGAACUCGUUACCUCAGGACUACGGAGUUGCAUAUAAGUAUAUUUAUUCAACAACAACAACAACAAGCAUGUCGGGCUCACCCACGUCCUGGCAGGCCAGAGAGAGGCACAGGCCCACUGUCAGAGAGAGAGAGAGCCCGGGCUUACUCCCAGACUGCAGCAGACAAGAGAGAAGCAAAAUUAAACACAUCAUACAAGGUAUAUAUAGAAAGAAGUUAGUAUUCUCUGACACUUUGUCAGCAGGGAUAACCAGGUGGUGGGUCCCCGACGUCCGAGGUCAUCUUACUAUGCUUUCUGUCAUGCAAGGAUGUCACAAGGUCGAAAGAAGCACAGUUCGACCCUUCGUAUCACCUCUGACCAAAACAUGGACAAAAGGUUCCUUCUCUUAUGCAUAUGCAGACUAAGUGGCGUCAACACCUAAUAAUUUUAAUUACACACACAGAGAAACACAGAACGUUUCUCUUGUUCCUGCUUACAUUAGCACAUGAUUCAUACAAGGUAAUUAUUAAUACAAGGCACUUGAUUAACAGAGUUUCGAAAUUAAUUAUUUUAGAAGGACUACUAGUUCUUCUUAUCAGCCCUCAGUUACGCAUGCACAGAAGGUGCACUUUUAAGCAUACAUACUGAGUUAGAAAACGUCAGCACUUAAGAAUCAAAAAUAUACAGAGACAGAAACGUUUCAGCUCACAAAGGCAUAUGAUUAACACACAUACUGUACAUACUUCAUUAAAGUCAGAUUUUCACAUGUCUCUAUCACUUCCUUAUGUAUUUUUAUAUUUAUUCAUGUUUUUUCAAUAUUUUUUUCAUCUGUGUUUCUGCUGCUGUCAACACCCAAAUCUUCCUGCCUGGGGAUUAAUAAAAUGUCAUCUAUAUUUAAAAAAAAUUAUAUG
rnacentral:lncRNA from 1 species